AAUUACCGCCGUCGGCGGCGGACACGAGGGCUCGCCGGGCCAGGGAGAGGAUACAGGCGCCACCAAACCUUGUACGCGAGGACGCCGCCGUUGCUCGGACUUGAGCGCGGGCCACCUCCACCACGUGAUGCGGCUGCGCUGUGGAGAGCUGGGCCGAGGGCCGCUCGGAGGAGCGGCGUGUCGUGGCUGUGGUGUCUGCCGCGCCCGGAGGACUGAUGCUUCUGCGAGCGUCCUCGACGAGGUUGUUGCCGCUACAGUGAUGGCGAGACGGCGAGACGGCGAGCAGCAGUGGCCGCUAGUUCCAGUUCAAGAAAUUAGAAAAAGACAUGGAUUUCUUCCGGUUGAUGCUUCAGCCACCUAUUCAUCUCGCCAUGCUCACAUGCUCGGAUGAAGCGAUGCACUAUGUGGUGCAGAAAAUGCAGUUAAUUUCGAGAUCACGGGAAGAAAACAAAUACUUAAUUACUAAAUGGAAUUAGUGUUUCCUGAUCGAUUUCUCUUAUGGCUGUUUUAGGCGUUCGUGCCGAGAGGAGCCAGGCCGAGGGGAGCGUCGUUGCGCCGAUGCGCCGCUGGAGCCUGGAGGGCUGUCGAGGCCGAGGGUCCUUGUUUCCCUGGCGCCGGAGGGAGUCGCCGCCACAGCCGUGUAUCAGGCCGAUGGCCAGGGACGCUGAUGCCGUCGAGUUCUUGGCCUAUUUGCUCUCUGGAAGAGGCGUGCUGAUAACGUGUUAAAGUAAAACGAGAGAGGGAGAGAGGAGCGAAUGAUGGGAAUGAACAGUUAUUCUAUUGAUUGAAGAUUGGGGUAUUUAUACCCAGUUUA